CCUACGGGGGGCUGCAGUGAGGAAUAUUGGUCAAUGGACGAGAGUCUGAACCAGCCAAGUAGCGUGAAGGAUGACUGCCCUAUGGGUUGUAAACUUCUUUUAUAUGGGAAUAAAACGUUCCACGUGUGGGAUUUUGUAUGUACCAUAUGAAUAAGGAUCGGCUAACUCCGUGCCAGCAGCCGCGGUAAUACGGAGGAUCCGAGCGUUAUCCGGAUUUAUUGGGUUUAAAGGGAGCGUAGGUGGAUUGUUAAGUCAGUUGUGAAAGUUUGCGGCUCAACCGUAAAAUUGCAGUUGAAACUGGCAGUCUUGAGUACGGUAGAGGUGGGCGGAAUUCGUGGUGUAGCGGUGAAAUGCUUAGAUAUCACGAAGAACUCCGAUUGCGAAGGCAGUUCACUGGACUGCAACUGACACUGAGGCUCGAAAGUGUGGGUAUCAAACAGGAUUAGAUACCCUUGUAGUC
rnacentral:rRNA from 1 species